rnacentral:rRNA from 1 species
CCUACGGGAGGCAGCAGUGAGGAAUAUUGGUCAAUGGGCGCGAGCCUGAACCAGCCAAGUAGCGUGAAGGAUGACUGCUCUCCGGGUUGUAAACUUCUUUUAUAAAGGAAUAAAGUGAGGCACGUGUGCCUUUUUGUAUGUACUUUAUGAAAAAGCAUCGGCUAACUCCGUGCCAGCAGCCGCGGUAAUACGAGGGAUCCGAGCGUUAUCCGGAUUUAUUGGGUUAAACGGGUGCGCAGGCGGGCCUUUAGGCUGGCGGUGAAAGCGCGGGGCUAAACCCAGCCGAGCAGUCGGCACUGGGGGCCUUGAGUGCGGCGGAGGCAUGCGGAAUGCGCGGUGUAGCGGUGAAAUGCAUAGAGAUCGCGCAGAACCCCGAUUGCGAAGGCAGCGGGCUGUGCCGCCACUGACGCUGAGGCACGAAAGCGCGGGGAUCGAACAGGAUUAGAUACCCCAGUAGUC